rnacentral:rRNA from 1 species
UAGGGAAUAUUGCACAAUGGACGAAAGUCUGAUGCAGCAACUCCGCGUGAUGGAUGAAGGUCUUCGGAUUGUAAACAUCUUUUAUAGGGGAAGAAUGAUUAUCGUGCUAAUCAGCGAUAAAGUGACGGUACCUUAUGAAUAAGCCACGGCUAAAUACGUGCCAGCAGCCGCGGUAAUACGUAUGUGGCGAGCGUUACUCGGAAUCACUGGGCGUAAAGAGUACGUAGGCGGAUAUAUAAGUCAGGAGUGAAAUUUUGGGGCUCAACCUCGAAACUGCUUUUGAAACUGUGUAUCUUGAGUAUGUGAGGGGAUGAUGGAAUUUCUGGUGUAGCGGUGGAAUGCGUAGAUAUCAGGAAGAACACCGAUGGCGAAGGCAGUCAUCUGGCACAAUACUGACGCUGAGGUACGAAAGCGUGGGGAGCAAACAGG